rnacentral:misc_RNA from 1 species
GUGAAUCCCAAGAAAACCUUGGUCAAGUAACUGUCCAGCAAUGUCUAUGAAGAUUAUGAAGGGGGGUUUCAUGUAAGAUUAAAGAGAACAGUUGAAGUCAUCAGUACUACUACCCAGAAUGGGUCAAUUUACAUCUAUAUAAUCAUACAUAUACAUGGUUUGGACAAAAUGACGACAUCCAUCCCUCUAUAUCUUAACAUUCAGUGUUGCACUUCAAAGGAUUAAUGUUUCACCACACCCAGUAAGAUGCGCACCAUAUAUCAUCGAUGCUGGCAAGAGUAUCUACCUUGAAGAGAAAAUGCUUCAACUCAUAUAAAACUUCAGUUUGAACCACUUGCAGCACACGGGGAUUGCCUACUAUCCUCAUUUAAAGAAUGAAUACCAUCACUCUCAGGUAUAUGCUGCUCAGCAUCUCUGAUAGGUAAAGUAGUGUCCAGUAUAUUUGAUUCAGCAGAACUGGUUCUGCUAUCUGUAGUUUCCAGAUGGUCCAUCAUGUGUGAUACAGUGGCAACAGCUGCCCUCACUUCAUUCCUAGGUUCGGGAACAUUGUCUGAUGUUGAACUGUUGCGAGAGAAAAAUCUCUCCUUCCAACCCCUUGAACUCUUGGUUAAAGAUUCUUUGCAUCUCAUUGACAUUGCACUAAACCGAGACUUCAUAGAAUCUGAAAAAGACUGAAAAUCUGAUGGUCCGGCUCUGUCUUGAUUGUUAGUAGAAGAUUGAGAAGGAUUCCUCCUAUUAUGUGACGAAGUCCCAAGUUGAUUAACAGCAGUAUUUGAUCCUGACCCAGAGGCAGAAACCUCAUCAGCUUGAAAAGGAGGUUGAGAAAGUAGUUGUCCCGAACCUUCUCCAACAGCAAUAACUGGAGAAUCCUGACCAGAAACCGAGACUUCAGGAGUGGGUUCACCCCCACUCCUCUGGUUAGAAGAUGAAGCAGGAACAGCAGCAGCAGCAGGAGCAUUUGGAUGAGUUGAAAACACCAGAUAUUGGGGACGAACUUGAGCUGAGGACCUACCUCGCGGACCUUCCCUUCUAGCAAUGUGCCGUGCCCUUCCCAUGGCAGCCGCAGCAGCUAAGUGCUGAAUGAUACGCUCUUCAAGCUCAGAGUCAGUUGCGCUUACCGGUAAAUGCUGCAACUCAAAAUCUCCUAAAGUUGGAUGGUGGAAGAUUGUGGUGUUUCUAGGAGGAUUCAUCCUGAUGUUCCUCUCGUGCUCUACUGCAUCCAACAAUUCCUGGCUGUUGGGGUCUUUCAAGCUGAGAGGUUGCCAACACAUGGGGCACUGGGAGCUUCUUUGACACCAUUCUAGAAUACACUGAAGAUGGAACUCAUGCUUGCAGCCUGUCACUGUAGAAGGAUCACUAUCAGAAAAUUCGUCAAGACAUAUGCUGCAAGCAUCAUCGCAGGCAUCCUGAAUUCCACCUUCCACAAAUGCUGCAGCCGAAGUCAAAAUAUCCUCAGACAUCUUGCCCUCCUCCAUCUCAAAAAAGCUUCAACUAAUAGGGAGGAUCAAAUUGAUCAGAUGAAUUUGGGUUUUUUGAGAGGUAACCACAGAAAGAAAAAGCGAGGAAGACUUUGAACUUUACCUUU